UUUUUUUUUGAGAAACUUGAAGUAUCUCACCAAUGGAGAUGGCAUUUCCAUUGGAAAUAUCUCAAUGAGAUACCCAAAAAGAAAAAAAAAUUAAAAAAAAAAUGGUAUGAGAGAGGUGAGGAAAAGUAGAAAGAAGGAGAGUUAAGUUUAACUAUUCUCAUCCAAUUGGACAUGUGUUAUCAUAUUAUUAGUUUAACUAUUAAAUAAUAAUUAAUAUAUCUGUUUUGAUUAAAAUAUAU
rnacentral:sRNA from 1 species